rnacentral:rRNA from 1 species
UACGUAGGGUGCAAGCGUUGUCCGGAAUUAUUGGGCGUAAAGAGCGUGUAGGCGGCUUGAUUAGUCUGCUGUGAAAGUCCAGGGCUCAACCCUGGAAUGCCGGUGGAUACUGUCAAGCUAGAGUCCGGAAGGGGCGAGUGGAAUUCCUGGUGUAGCGGUGAAAUGCGCAGAUAUCAGGAGGAACACCGGUGGCGAAAGCGGCUCACUGGACCAUAACUGACGCUGAUGCACGAAAGCUAGGGGAGCAAACAGG